rnacentral:rRNA from 1 species
GACGAACGCUGGCGGCGUGCCUAAUACAUGCAAGUCGAACGCUUCUUUCCUCCCGAGUGCUUGCACUCAAUUGGAAAGAGGAGUGGCGGACGGGUGAGUAACACGUGGGUAACCUACCCAUCAGAGGGGGAUAACACUUGGAAACAGGUGCUAAUACCGCAUAACAGUUUAUGCCGCAUGGCAUAAGAGUGAAAGGCGCUUUCGGGUGUCGCUGACGGAUGGACCCGCGGUGCAUUAGCUAGUUGGUGAGGUAACGGCUCACCAAGGCCACGAUGCAUAGCCGACCUGAGAGGGUGAUCGGCCACACUGGGACUGAGACACGGCCCAGACUCCUACGGGAGGCAGCAGUAGGGAAUCUUCGGCAAUGGACGAAAGUCUGACCGAGCAACGCCGCGUGAGUGAAGAAGGUUUUCGGAUCGUAAAACUCUGUUGUUAGAGAAGAACAAGGACGUUAGUAACUGAACGUCCCCUGACGGUAUCUAACCAGAAAGCCACGGCUAACUACGUG